CAGGGCCAGAUGUCCCAAGUGCAUUAUGUGUUGAUCGUGGGGUGCCACAGUGUGUGUUGUGUGUGCACGCAUGCAUACACGUGGAUCUCUCUCCAGGAACACAGCCAGGCCACAGUCUCAUUCAAUCUCCUCUUUACUGUGGAUGUCACUGUCACCAUCACAGCCACCGGGAGGAGCACACAGCUUUGACACCCUGUUGCUAAGGGGAAGGGUCGGGGGCAUUCAGAGUUAUAAAACUAGCUAUAUACAUAGAGUGUCCUAGGGAGAAAGCCACCCUGAGCACACAUGUUCGGGCACAGUGGAGGUUGAGGUCUGGAAUUCAGGCAAGACCGAACAGGUGUGUGGCAGGCAGGUGGGCGUGUGCACACGAGGACAUGCUGGGGAAGGGCUCAGAAGGUGGCAUAAACAUCACCAAGGCUGCCUGCAGGGCCUCAAGUACAGGGUCUUCCCAGGUUCCUCCACCUUAGGGUUGGGCCCCUGGUGAGAACCCCCACUUCCCCUACCUCCACCUCCAUCCAACCUUGACCUUACAGCCUCAAGUGGAGGGAGAGGCUGCAGGACCAGUUCCCCAAUCAGGGGUUAAGGGUACAACCCCUUUCCUCACCACUCCCUAGAUCUGGGGGGCACUGGGCCCCUCCUAACGCUAACAACGGAUGAGGGCCUGUACAGGCUGGGGCAUAAGGCAGGGCAAGGGCACCCACUCGGAAGGCCAGGGCUGUGGGGGGCAGUGAGGAGGACGCAGGACCCCUGGCAGAAAAGUGAUAGCCUGGUCUCAGAAAGGACUGCCAUGGGAAAGUGUCUCUGGGACACCCCAUCAAGGUGAAGCCAUUCCCAACCCCUAGGCAUUGCCCACAGAGACUGGACACCAGGGAGGCUACCUAGGGUCUCCACAGAGACAGAUUGGCACUUAGAGACCACAACAGACUGGUCACUGCAGUGAUUUCCAUAGAGACAGAACCUGGUCAUCAGGGAGACCCCACCUCCUGCCUCCUCCCAGGGGGAUGGGAAGGGUCACCAUGGUGGCCUGACCCAGAGACAG